rnacentral:rRNA from 1 species
GAUGAACGCUGGCGGCGUGCCUAAUACAGGCAAGUCGAGCGAACAGACGAGGAGCUUGCUCCUCUGACGUUAGCGGCGGACGGGUGAGUAACACGUGGAUAACCUACCUAUAAGACUGGGAUAACUUCGGGAAACCGGAGCUAAUACCGGAUAAUAUAUUGAACCGCAUGGUUCAAUAGUUAAAGACGGUUUUGCUGUCACUUAUAGAUGGAUCCGCGCCGCAUUAGCUAGUUGGUAAGGUAACGGCUUACCAAGGCAACGAUGCGUAGCCGACCUGAGAGGGUGAUCGGCCACACUGGAACUGCGACACGGUCCAGACUCCUACGGGAGGCAGCAGUAGGGAAUCUUCCGCCAUGGGCGAAAGCCUGACGGAGCAACGCCGCGUGAGUGCUGAAGGUCUUCGGAUCGUAAAACUCUGUUCUUAGGGACGACCAAAUGUGUAAGUAACUAUGCACGUCUUGACGGUACCUAAUCAGAAAGCUACGGCUAACUACGUG